rnacentral:rRNA from 1 species
UACGUAGGGACCAAGCGUUGUCCGGAAUCAUUGGGCGUAAAGAGCGUGUAGGCGGCCUGUUAAGUCUUGCGUGAAAUCUCGGGGCUCAACCCCGAGCGGUCGUGAGAAACUGGCAGGCUAGAGUGCGGGAGAGGAGAGUGGAAUUCCUGGUGUAGCGGUGAAAUGCGCAGAUAUCAGGAAGAACACCCGUGGCGAAGGCGGCUCUCUGGAACGCAACUGACGCUGAGACGCGAAAACGUGGGGAGCAAACAGG